CUGAGGUUUCCCCGGAGUCUUCCAGGUGAACAUUCCCAGCUCCUGGAAGGACUCUGAGGAAUUCCAAACCCUUCCCUUCUCCAGGUGAACAUUCCCAGCUCCUGGAAGGGCUCUGAGAAAUUCCGAACCCUUCCUUUCUCCAGGUGAACAUUCCCAGCUCCUGGAAGAACUCUGAGGAGUUCCUGACCCUUCUCUGCUCCAGGUGAACAUUCCCAGCUCCUGGAAGAACUCUGAGGAGUUCCUGACCCUUUUCUUCUCAUUCCCAGCUCCUGGAUGGGGCUCUAAGGGUCCUUCCCUUCUCCAGAUGAACAUUCCCAACUCCUGGAAGGGCUCUGAGGAAUUCCUGACCCUUCUCUGCUCCAGGUGAACAUUCCCAGCUCCUGGAAGGGCUCUGAGGAAUUCCUGACCCUUCCCUUCUCCAGAUGAACAUUCCCAGCUCCUGGAAGGGCUCUGAGGAAUUCCUGGACCCUUUUCUUCUCAUUCCCAGCUCCUGGAUGGGGCUCUAAGGGUCCUUCCCUUCUCCAGAUGAACAUUCCCAACUCCUGGAAGGGCUCUGAGGAGUUCCCAAACCCUUCCCUUUUCCAGUUGGGACAUUCCCAGCUCUUGGAUGGGGCUCUAAGGGUCCUUCCCUUCUCCAGGUGAACAUUCCCAACUCCUGGAAUCACUCCACAGAAUUCCUGACCCUUCCCUUCUCCAGGUGAACAUUCCCAACUCCUGGAAAGUCUCUGAGGAAUUCCUGACCCUUCUCUCCUCGGCCAUUCCGCCCAGGAAUCAGGGCUGCUUCAGAUUCAUGGCAGGGAAAACUGGGAGAGCAUUAAAAAA